rnacentral:lncRNA from 1 species
GCGUGAUCAGAGUGGGGCCCCUCUUAGGCAGUCAGUGGGCCCCAACUUAUGAAAAAUUCUGGAUCCAUCAUAACUAUGUUUAACAUUGUAAAAUAUAUGUUAACCGACUUUUGCGAAAGGCAUUAUCUUUGCCAUUUCCAGCAUACUUUUCACUUUCUCUGAUGUAGGCUUUUUUCAUUCUCAUUUUUUUUCUUAUUUCCUUUAAUAUCUUCAGGUGUUUUGGCUGCCUUUUUGUUCUUUAGAAUCUUGACUUUUUUUUCUUCUCAGCAUCUUGUUUUCUCUCGUUCUUUGGCAAAAAUAGCACACCC